rnacentral:rRNA from 1 species
GACGAACGCUGGCGGCGUGCUUAACACAUGCAAGUCGAACGGUAAGGCCCUUCGGGGUACACGAGUGGCGAACGGGUGAGUAACACGUGGGUGAUCUGCCCUGCACUUCGGGAUAAGCCUGGGAAACUGGGUCUAAUACCGGAUAGGACCACUGCCUGCAUGGGUGGUGGUGGAAAGCUUUUGCGGUGUGGGAUGGGCCCGCGGCCUAUCAGCUUGUUGGUGGGGUGAUGGGCUACCAAGGCGACGACGGGUAGCCGGCCUGAGAGGGUGACCGGCCACACUGGGACUGGGAUACGGCCCAGACUCCUACGGGAGGCAGCAGUGGGGAAUAUUGCACAAUGGGCGCAAGCCUGAUGCAGCGACGCCGCGUGAGGGAUGAUGGCCUUCGGGUUGUAAACCUCUUUCAGCACCGACGAAGCGCAAGUGACGGUAGGUGCAGAAGAAGGACCGGCCAACUACGUGCCAGCCGCCGCAGUAA